rnacentral:rRNA from 1 species
UACGUAGGGGGCAAGCGUUGUCCGGAUUUAUUGGGCGUAAAGAGCGUGUAGGCGGCAAGGUAGGUCCGCUGUGAAAACUCGAGGCUCAACCUCGAGAUGUCGGCGGAAACCAUCUGGCUAGAGUCCGGAAGAGGAAAGUGGAAUUCCCGGUGUAGCGGUGAAAUGCGCAGAUAUCAGGAGGAACACCGAUGGCGAAGGCAGGUCUCUGGGCCGAUACUGACGCUGAGGAGCGAAAGCGUGGGGAGCGAACAGG